UGCCAGACUCCUACGGGAGGCAGCAGUGGGGAAUAUUGCACAAUGGGGGAAACCCUGAUGCAGCGACGCCGCGUGAGCGAUGAAGUAUUUCGGUAUGUAAAGCUCUAUCAGCAGGGAAGAAAAUGACGGUACCUGACUAAGAAGCCCCGGCUAACUACGUGCCAGCAGCCGCGGUAAUACGUAGGGGGCAAGCGUUAUCCGGAUUUACUGGGUGUAAAGGGAGCGUAGACGGCUGUGCAAGCCAGAUGUGAAAGCCCGGGGCGCAACCCCGGGAGUGCAGUUGGAACUGUGUGGCUGGAGUGUCGGAGAGGCAGGCGGAAUUCCUAGUGGAGCGGUGAAAUGCGUAGAUAUUAGGAGGAACACCAGUGGCGAAGGCGGCCUGCUGGACGAUGACUGACGUUGAGGCUCGAAAGCGUGGGGAGCAAACAGGAUUAGAUACCCCAGUAAAG
rnacentral:rRNA from 1 species